CACGUAGGGGGCAAGCGUUGUUCGGAAUUACUGGGCGUAAAGGGCAUGUAGGCGGUUUUGUAAGCCUGACGUGAAAGGCUAUGGCUUAACCAUGGCACUGCGUUGGGAACUGCGAGACUUGAAUCACGGAGGGGGAGCUGGAAUUCCAGGUGUAGGGGUGGAAUCUGUAGAUAUCUGGAAGAACACCAGUGGCGAAGGCGAGCUCCUGGCCGAUGAUUGACGCUGAGGUGCGAAAGUGUUGGGAUCAAACAGGAUUAGAGACCCUGGUAGUCCACACUGUCAACGAUGUGCACUAGGUGCUGGGGCGGACGCUUCAGUGCCGGAGCUAACGCAUUAAGUACCCCGCCUGGGGAGUACGGUCGCAAGGCUGAA
rnacentral:rRNA from 1 species